GUUGUUUAGUUGAAAAUUAAUUAAAUAAUUUUUGAUUUUGAGUAGUAUUGACUUCAUCAGCUUGCUGCUUUCUUUUCGGAAAUUAUUUAAUGCACUUUUCAGUUAACAAGUCAACAUCAAUUUCUUUUGUUGUAAAAGGGUAAGAGGAAGGUGGCUUACAUUUCGGUGUAAGUGUUUAUAGCCUUUUACCUCUGCAAUCGGAGAGAUUGAGGUCAGCAGCGUAGACUCUUCGGGGUUAGAUACACUUGUGCUAAGCUAUAGCCUUGUAUAGACAACUUGUUGACUAUGCUCAGUCAUGUAGCUUACUCGCUUGUAGUAUUUUACCUAC
rnacentral:rRNA from 1 species